GGGACUUGUGGGAAGGAAGGGAGCGGAAAGGCCGAGCGCCACCCGCCCCGGGAGUCUCCAGAGCAGCGCGCGGGGCAGACCUCCUCGGGUCCUCCGGCGCUUCGGUCUCCGGAGACGCCCGGCCUCCUGAAGGGUUCGGCUUGUCCUCCUCUGGCGCUCAGCUCCCUCUGGCGGCCGGGCUGGCAGGACCUCAGCGCCCAGCCCUUCCGUCUUGUUACGUCCAGGGUCUCACUCUGUGUCUCAGGCUGGAGUACAGUGGUGCAAUUGUAGAUGGCUGCAGCCCUCGACCUCCUGGGCUCAAGUGAUCCUCCUGCCUUAGCCUCUCGAGUAGCUGGGAGUACAGAUGCACACCACCACACCCAGCCUAGAAUGAAGAAACCUGCAGUUGGGAAGCAUGAAUUUACCACCUAUUAAGGAAUGCAAGAAAUUACAUUAUAGAAAGCAAGCUGUACUUCAGAAAAACACACAUCAACAGAGGAAGAGAAAGGCUCCAUUUCUUUUGAAA
rnacentral:lncRNA from 10 species